rnacentral:misc_RNA from 1 species
UUUCCGUAGGUGAACCUGCGGAAGGAUCAUUCAUAAUAAGUGUUUUAUGGCACUUUUUUAAAUCCAUAUCCACCUUGUGUGCAAUGUCAGGGUUGAUUUUUCUCUCGAGAGGAUCAACCCCAAACAUCAACUAUAUCUCAACUCUUUGUCUGAAAGAUAUUAUGAAUAAAACAAUUCAAAAUACAACUUUCAACAACGGAUCUCUUGGCUCCC